CAGGAUGCAAAAGUACAUUCAUACUCAAACUGGGUGGCAAAUGAGUGACUAGACUUUGUUAAUGGUUGCAGUGCAGUGGAAGUCAAAAACGUAUUUAAUAUUUUUUAGUUGGUUCAGGAUAAAAAGAAGCCAUAAAACGUUAACACAAUUAUGCUGCCUUUCUAAAUUAUCACAAUAGAAUUGAUAUUAUGUGAAUAUAAGAUAGAAAUUCACAAGUGGUAAAAUUAUUAUAGUACAUAUAUUGGAUGGUUGUGAAGAAAAUUAAAAUACAGACAGAGAGACAGACAGAGAUGCUUACAUUUAUAGUUCAAUGAUUCAUGAAAUUGUUUUUAAAAUAUUUGCUUUCAGUGUUGAUUAAUAGGACAAGAUAUUCUGUUAUACUAGCUGUGUUUCUUCAGCUUAAUAAAAAACAUAAUGUAUCUGAUUUGACUGUCUCCAUGCAUUGGUUGUACAUGUAUAAGGAAUUUGUCUCUGAUGUGUCAUAUUUCUUAAAUGUCAGCAAACUCCAAAUUGACUUUGGACUUUGGAAACACACCUAACAGCAAUAUUUUAACAUUAGUAUCCCAUAAUUCUCCUGUCAUGAAAACAACUGGAUGAUGUACUCAAUGCAAGGAGAAAGAAAAGUAGACUGGGGAAAAUGUGAUGUAAGAGGUUAUCAGCCCACACACACAAUAUCUUGGCUCCAGGUUUAUUUUGGCUCUACUUAUCAGGGUGUGGGGAUCAGUGAGAUGGGAAACUUGCAUGUUGUCUUUUGAGAGACAAGCUGAAGUUACUGUUGAUCCAUCUGCACUGAGCUCUGUAUCAGCAGUUUCUCUGAGCGAUGUGAGUUCAUGCACAGAUAUGGGUCAAUAUCAUAUCAACAAAAAACACCAGUCAGACUUCAUUAACUGUUUUAAGAACAAAAGUAGUGAGACAGAAUUGGUAUGACACAUGGACCUGAUACUGCCCUCUCAUAAAACAAUCACAACUGUUACGUCUCUGAAAAACAUGACUAAUAUAUUAGCAGGGCAGGGCCGCAGGCUAAUAAUCUCUUUAUACAGGAAGUACUGCUGCCAGAGCCUGCAGAACAAAUGUGGUCACACCCGAAAACCUGCCAGAGUGCUUCCCAAAAAGAAACCAGUGGGUGACCCUACGUCCAUGUUUUCCCAAAGCUUAUGAUGAAGCCAGAUUAGUCAGAAGUAUGACUUUGACAUCGCUCUUCCGCCUCUGGGACUUGGACACCGGAACCUCAGCCUCUCCCCCGUCCCCAUCCUGAAGCCUCUGGUGGUAACCAUUCAUCUCCCCAUGAGGAACAUCCACAGCUUCCCUAUCCUCAGACGCCCAGUUUGACCUGCAUUAUCAAGGGUCCAGUGUCACUAACUUCAGCCUGGAACACAUACAGGCCAGAGGACAACAGUAACACCUUACACAUACACACACAAACCCCUAAUGUAUCUCUACAAUGUUGCUGAUUAAAUCAUUUGUUUUGACAUGUUGGAUGUGACUGGGACUUUCUCAGAUAUAAAACUUAUCUCACUGUGGGUCAGCACAGACGCUUUGUGGAUUUAGUUCUGUUUUAAUUUCAUACAACAAUGAUUUUCCAUGGUAAGCAGUAAUUAAUCCUGGUUAAUAUGGUAGGACAACACAACUCUGAAAAUAGUUUUCAUUUUUGAACAAAAAUAUUGCUUUUCUGGCUGGGUUUUUGUUUUUAUGGCUUGUGAUAGGACUUCUACUGACCUUUCAGGUGGUUAGAAUUUAUGAUUUUACCUGGAGGUGCUGCACUGAUGGCAAAACAACGCUAGCACAGAAUGUACUUUUGAGUGUCAUCAUCAUGUAUAAAUCUGCAAUCUGUUCCACACAACAGAACGUGAUUCUAUUUUGGUACAAAUGACUUAAAAACUGUCAGAACUAGAGUAAAUAACUUCAUAUUCUCUUUUUCAGCACUGUUCAUUCGGACUCAUUUUUGUUGGUCUAAAGCUUUUUUCUGUUUUCUGCCUGUGUUCAGUGUCUUACGUGGCUUAAUAUGGUCUCAUCUUACUGAUGUAACUUACAAAGAAAGUCUGAAUUGUCAUACAUUGAUGUAUCAGUCAAAACUGUGAUUUUCAUAUCAUCAGUCCUCCAAAAAGAAUAUAAAGGAGGCAUUGCAUGGGAAGGCGGAGGCUAUAAGGAAAGAGAUGAAGUGUCUUUGGUUUGACUGGGGACACUGCUAACGGCAGAGCUCCCUCUUUUUGUCCACAUUCCUCACAUUGCUACAUUCCUCUAAACACUUCAGGAUCACACACACACACACACACAUACAAAAGAGACUGACAGUGAGAUAGAGAGGGAGAAAAUGAGAGAGAGACUGAGAGGUAUUUGUGAAAGGCAGAAAAGGAACAAUCCCAAAAAUGAUGCUAACAAUCUGUGAAACUAACACGAGUCUUGUACAUCUAUCGCUGCUGCUCACACGACUCAGAGGAAUGCAG